AGUUGAAAUUGCCUUAUCGCUUGAUAUUAAAUCAAGAGGAAAGUCUGGACAACAUAGAGCGCCAUGCUUCCUAACAGGAAGAACUUUAAGUUAGCAAGUGCCACAGAAAAAAACCGCCAUUUAUGGUAAGGGUGAAAAUGUGAGGUAAGAGCUCACGAGAUUUAGUAGUGAUAUUAAAUUUGGGUAAACCUCAUGGGUUGAAAGGUCAAAUAUACUGAGAUGUUUUCUAUAAAAACAAAAGACUGCUCGUCUUUACUCAGGGGGUAGACCGUUUGAGUUUAAUAGUGAUAUUAAACCUAGAUAAAUGAUAGGGACUUUUUUUAAGAAAAGUACAGAAUCCGGCUUAUAAAUUUUAACUAUUU
rnacentral:RNase_P_RNA from 1 species